GUUUUGCGUUAGGGAUUGAAGUGGAAAUCCUUUUUUAUUUUUCAUAAAAAAGAUUACAACGUAAAGCCUGACCUUUU
rnacentral:sRNA from 1 species